rnacentral:rRNA from 1 species
GGGGAAUUUUGCACAAUGGGGGAAACCCUGAUGCAGCGACGCCGCGUGAUUUAGAAGGCCUUCGGGUUGUAAAAAUCUUUUGUAUAGGAAGAAAAUGACAGUACUAUACGAAUAAGGUCCGGCUAAUUACGUGCCAGCAGCCGCGGUAAUACGUAAGGACCGAGCGUUGUCCGGAAUCAUUGGGCGUAAAGGGUACGUAGGCGGCUAGAAAAGUUAGAAGUCAAAGGCUAUAGCUCAACUAUAGUAAGCUUCUAAAACUAUUUAGCUUGAGAAAUGGAAGGGAAAGUGGAAUUCCUAGUGUAGCGGUGGAAUGCGCAGAUAUUAGGAAGAAUACCGGUGGCGAAGGCGACUUUCUGGCCAUUAUCUGACGCUGAGGUACGAAAGCGUGGGUAGCAAACAGGAUUAGAUACCCUGGUAGUCCACGCCGUAAACGAUGAGUGUUAGGUGUCUGGAGUCAAAUCUGGGUGCCGCAGCAAACGCAUUAAACACUCCGCCUGGGGAGUACGCACGCAAGUGUG